GGGAUUCGUCCCUGGGAUUUUGUUUUAAUUCGAAAUGAUAGCAUCCAAGGCGUGGCAAGGACAAUUCAUCACUAUAUAUACGGAUGCAUCGGAUUGAUUAAAAAUAAGUCCUUUUACAUUCAGAAGGAAGUGAUCAUCAUCAUGAACAAAGUGGCUUGUCUCAUUGUCCUCCUCGGCCUGGUCUGCAUGGCCAGCGCCCAAGUUUUGCUGUCCGGAGGCGUCAAGGAUCUUGCUGGCAACUAUUACGACUUCACCACCGGUCAAGUGGCCAGUUCUGCUACAGGACGAGUCUACAACACUGGACAUUUCCCUCUCCCUUAUGCCCGAGCUGUGUACUGGUAAAGAUUCAUGGAAAGGAAACUAUUCAAGCUGUCUGCAGUUUUGACUGAUGAUUCCUGGUGAUGACGUAUAGGAGAUUUCAAUAGUCAAAUUCCGCGUUUUUACAAAAAUAAAAGAAAAAUCGAUUUUUUCCCCUUUUUAAAUAUUGUUUUCUUUAAAUUAAGAAAUUACUUUUGUCAUUAAAAUUCUAUUUUGUAAAAAGCAA